rnacentral:rRNA from 1 species
CCUACGGGCGGCUGCAGCUAAGAAUAUUCCGCAAUGGACGAAAGUCUGACGGAGCGACGCCGCGUGGAUGAAGAAGGCCGAAAGGUUGUAAAAUCCUUUUGUUGGGGAAGAAUAAGCGUGGGAGGGAAUGCCCGCGUGAUGACAUGAACCGACGAAUAAGUCCCGGCUAACUACGUGCCAGCAGCCGCGGUAACACGUAGCGGACUAGCGUUAUUCGGAGGUACUGUGCGUGAAGGUCUAAGCCUGGCGUGAAAGUCACCGGCUCAACCGGUGGAUUGCGUCAGGAACUGCAGAGCUUGAGUCAUGGAGAGGAAGGCAGAAUUCCUGGUGUAGGGGUGAAAUCUGUAGAGAUCAGGAAGAAUACCAGUGGCGAAGGCGGCCUUCUGGCCAAUGACUGACGCUGAGGUGCGAAAGUGUGGGGAUCAAACAGGAUUAGAUACCCUUGUAGUC